rnacentral:rRNA from 1 species
CCUACGGGUGGCAGCAGUGGGGAAUAUUGCACAAUGGGGGAAACCCUGAUGCAGCAACGCCGCGUGAGUGAAGAAGUAUUUCGGUAUGUAAAGCUCUAUCAGCAGGGAAGAAGAUGACGGUACCUGAGUAAGAAGCCCCGGCUAACUACGUGCCAGCAGCCGCGGUAAUACGUAGGGGGCAAGCGUUAUCCGGAUUUACUGGGUGUAAAGGGAGCGUAGACGGUGAGACAAGUCUGAAGUGAAAGCCCGGGGCUCAACCCCGGGACUGCUUUGGAAACUGCCUGACUGGAGUGCUGGAGAGGCAAGCGGAAUUCCUAGUGUAGCGGUGAAAUGCUUAGAUAUCACGAAGAACCCCGAUUGCGAAGGCAGCCUGCCGCAGCGUUACUGACGCUGAAGCUCGAAAGCGCGGGUAUCGAACAGGAUUAGAUACCCUUGUAGUC